rnacentral:rRNA from 1 species
AGAGUUUGAUCCUGGCUCAGAUUGAACGCUGGCGGCGUGCCUAACACAUGCAAGUCGAGCGGUAACAGGUGUAGCAAUACAUGCUGACGAGCGGCGAACGGGUGAGUAAUGCUUUGGAAUCUUCCCAGUAGUGGGGAAUAACCAGUCGAAAGAUUGGCUAAUACCGCAUACGUCUGUAAAGGGAAAGCGGGGGCUCGUAAGACCUCGCGCUAUUGGAUGAGCCAAAGUCGGAUUAGCUAGUUGGUGGGGUAAUGGCCUACCAAGGCGACAAUCCGUAGCUGGUCUGAGAGGACGACCAGCCACACCGGAACUGAGACACGGUCCGGACUCCUACGGGAGGCAGCAGUGGGGAAUAUUGGACAAUGGGGGAAACCCUGAUCCAGCGACGCCGCGUGUGUGAAGAAGGCCUGCGGGUUGUAAAGCACUUUUAGUGGGGACAAAAAGCUACGGAUUAAUACUCUGUGGUCUUGAUUUAACCCAAAGAAAAAGCACCGGCUAACUCUGUGCCAGCAGCCGCGGUAAUACAGAGGGUGCGAGCGUUAAUCGGAAUUACUGGGCGUAAAGCGCGCGUAGACGGUUUUGUAAGUCAGAUGUGAAAUCCCUGGGCUCAACCUGGGAACUGCAUUUGAUACUGCAUGGCUAGAGUAUCGAAGAGGGAAGUGGAAUUUCCGGUGUAGCGGUGAAAUGCGUAGAUAUCGGAAGGAACACCAGUGGCGAAAGCGACUUCCUGGUCGAAUACUGACGUUCAUGUGCGAAAGCGUGGGGAGCAAACAGGAUUAGAUACCCUGGUAGUCCACGCCAUAAACGAUGACAACUAGAUGUUGGGGAGGGUCUGCCUCUCGGUGUCGCAGCUAACGCGUUAAGUUGUCCGCCUGGGGAGUACGGCCGCAAGGUUGAAACUUAAAGGAAUGACGGAUCGCGACGCUAAUAGU